CAGGCCAAUGUGGGCCAGUAUCUCUGGACUCCAAGCUGUGUGUCUUAGGACUCAUGCUCAAGAACGGAUUCCAGAGUAGGUUGGGGUCGGGUGGCUUGUUUCUCUCCCCCUAAGGUUUUCUAGUUGGGGAACCAAGUGCAUUCGGGGAGAUGCUCGUAGUCAGCCCAGUUCAGUAGAUCUGUGAUGAUGGAAAGCUCUCUAGUUGUGUGAUCCGGUUCAGUGGCCACUCACAUGUGGCUGGUGAGUCCUUGAGAUGUGGCUAGUGUGGCCCAGGGGCUGGGUCUUCCAUUUUCUUUGUAAUUAACUUUUAUUUAUUUAUUCAUUCAUUCAUUCAUUUAUUCAGUGCUUUUUUUAGCGCCUCACCUGCGGCAUAUGGAAGUUCCCAGGCCACAGGUCGAAUCAGAGCUACAGCUGCCGGCCUGCACCACAGCCGCAGCACCGCUGGGUCCAAGCUGUGUCUGCCACAGCAUUCGGCAAUGCCAGAUCCCCGACCCACUGAAUGAGGCCAGGGAUCAAACCUGCAUCCUCAUGGAUCCUAGUUGAAUUUGUUUCCAUGGCAUGGCACCAGGAACUCUGUAAUUAACUUAUGUUUACAUUGUUAUACGCGCCUGGUGGUACCAUAUUGGGUGGCAAAGCUCUUAGCCAUACGUUUCAGGAUGAGACGCAGAGUGUAUCUGACCUGGGUUUCCUCACGUCGGAAUACAGCUGCAGUUCUCCCUGAGGUGUUCAAGCGCGGUCAGCUGUUGCUGGACCUUCAUGUGUUUCCCUUAGUGUGGAACACACUGGGGAGGGGCCCAAUUCCACCUUGGAAUACGGGCCUUCCUUGAGGAGUCUGGCCAUCCGCACAUGUCCAUGGCUGACCCCAAGCAAAGCCCUGUGGACACAGGCGUGAACCAAGCGAGCUAGCCCUGUCCGCGUGGAGCUUCUCAUGCUUAUCCUUCAGUAAUGAGCUCGGGAGAAUGUCAGCAUCCUUGGACACUUAGAAGCCGACCUCACGGUAUCACAGAAAAGGAAGUGUAUUCGUUUCCUAUUGCCACCAACGCAGCAGCUUUAAACAACACAUCCUCUCCUAUAGAUCUGAAGGUCUGAAGUCUGAAAUGUGUCGCAAGGUUAAAAUCAACAUCCCAGGUCUGGCUCCUUCUGGAGGCUCUGGGGGGAAUCCAUUGCUCUCCUUUUCCUUCUUCUAGAAGCUCUUUUUGUGGCCCGUGGCUGCAGAUUCUAUUGUGUUCUCCCCAUUUUGCCCUCCUGUUGGCUUCCUCCCUCUUUGACCUUGUCUCCUUUUUUUUUGGCCACGGCAUGCUGGGCCACAGUGGCCAAAGCACCACAUCCUAGCCACCAAACCACCAGGGAACUCCUCCUGUCUCCUUCUUAUAAGGACCCUUGUAUUUAGGGCUCACCCAGGUAACCCAGCAGAACCUUCUCAUCGCCACACUCUUAGCUUAACUGCACCUGCCAAGUCCCUUUUGCCAUAUAAGGUAACACCUGCAAGUUCCAGGGAUGAAGAUGUGGAUCCACUUGGGGGACCAUUUUUCAGUCGGAGGGUAGCUUUCAAUACUCGAAGGAGAACACGCUUGUGUGAGAGGAGGUUGUUAACCAAGUGGGGUCCUUCCCAGGUGUUCUCAGUUGCUCACUGUUCACAAUGGCCAAGACGUGGAAGCAACCUAGAUGUUCAUCAACAGAGGAAUGGAAAAAGAAGAUGUGGCACGUGUAUAUGAUGGAAUAUUACUCAGCCAUAAAAAGGAAUGAAAUAACACCAUUGGCAGCAACAUGGAUGGACCUAGAGAUUAUCAUACGAAAUGGAGUAAGUCAGACAAAGACAUAUAUCAUAUGGUACCACACAUGAUGCCCAUUGACAGAGGAGUGGAUAAAGAAGAUGUACAUAUACACAAUGGAAUAUUACUCAGCCAUUAAAAUGGAUGGACAUAGAAAUUAUCGUGCUAAGUGAAGUCAGUCAGUGAGACACCAACAUCAUAUGCUAUCACUUACAUGUGGAAUCUAAAAAAAGGACACAAUGAACUUCUUUGCAGAACAGAUACUGACUCACACAGACUUUGAAAAACUUAUGGUUUCCAAAUGAGACAUGUUGGGGUGUGGGGGGAUGUGCUGGGGGUUUGGAAUGGGAAUGCUAUAGAAUUGGGUUGUGAUGAUCAUUUUACAAGUAUAAAUGUGAUAAAAUUCAUUGAGUAAUUUAAAAA
rnacentral:lncRNA from 1 species